rnacentral:lncRNA from 1 species
CAGCAGCCUCGGCCUCACCCUCCCCUUCCCCUUCCCACAAACCGAAACCAAAAAAUUGAACUCACACCACCACUGUAACAGAAUCUUUCGACGUUCUUGAAGGAUUUAGAGCUCCCGAAAAAUUCCAGUAGAAUUGGAAAACAACCCCCAACAAUAACUGCCUCAUCCAUACCAAAGAUCUUGUCUUUCUUCACACCUUCAAAAACCCUUAUCUGCUCCGCCCAAAGCUCUGCCACCAAUGAAAGCUAAUGCAAGCCCCAAUAGUCUACUUUCCAAUUCAAGAAUGCAAGGGUCGUCGUUUCUUCGAGAACAAACAGGAUGAGAAGAAUCGUAAAGCUCAUGAGGCCACCAAUUUUCUCUGUUUUUUUCAAUUUUUUGCGUUCUUUUUACAUUAUUAUCAGCCCAUUUUCAAUCACAUCAAAACCUAGUCAUGAUUUCUCCUAUUUUGGUUCAAUGAUUUCUAAUUUAAAAAAGCCCUAUUUAAAAUCCAAUUCUUCAUCAAGAAAGAAAUCAUUGAUCCCAAAUUUGAAUACAGAUUGCAGUGUAUGGAAUAGAGCUUCUUCUGAGGAGAUUUUAAAAUUUGCGAAGGUGUUGACGGUGAUGAAGAAGGACAAACAUUGGGUACAAAUAUAAUGUAUGAACGCAUCUUUAUAAACAACUAUAAUGUAUGAUAACCUGUAUGUUGGUACUUAUGUGGGUGAUAACCAUCGUAGGGUUUUGUAGGAUGAAGGCGAUGAUGAGGAAAAUGGUGUAGAUUUGUUUUGGGGAAUGUUGAGGUGUGUAAGGCUUGGGUGGUAGGAGAGAAGAUGAA